CAGGGGUGGGGGGCGCAGGUCAAGCUUUCACCAGUUUUUAAUUCUUUGAUGGGGUAAAUUUGAGCAAUUUUCUCGACUUGUCGACAUUCGUUAUUAACUGAGCAGGAAUCAGGAGAGGAACCCGGUCCUCUCCACACAGCCCAGCAGGGAGACAGGAGACAUCAAUAUAUGUAAGAUGAACGUUGGUUCCCUCGGGAAAGGCGGGACAACUCGAAGCAGGGAGGGGGCUUCCAGGUCACAGAGAGCCUACGACUAGAUUUGCAUCUUUACGUCCUGCGCGGAGGCUGCUACACACAUGCAGAAGUCAUGCUGGUGGCCUGGACAGUGAAGGGAGAGAAGUGGAUUUGGGAGACAUUUAGGAGGAACAGUAAGAGGACCUUGUGCAUGAAUAAUUUGUUUCCACACUACAGAGUGGAAGAAUCCCAGACUUCUUAGAGAACCCAGUGACUUUUUGCACCUUAAAUCUGUGAAAUCCUCAUGUUUUCUUCUGCCGUAUCCAUAGUUCAAACAAAGAUGAGGCAAAGCUAGAUGCAUUCCUGAAGGAACCCAAGAAAUUCCUCUCUUUAUUUCUCUGGAAUGAAAUGAAUUCUCUAGACCACCAGUUCUAACCUUCAAAAACCAAACCUGUUUGUGAGAUCUCCUUCAAAUACUACUGUAGACCCCAGUGUUUAUUCAUUAAAUUUUUAAAAUAUUUGUUUUA
ensembl:lncRNA RPL23AP7 ribosomal protein L23a pseudogene 7